rnacentral:misc_RNA from 1 species
GAUGAAGAACGCAGCGAAAUGCGAUAAGUAAUGUGAAUUGCAGAAUUCAGUGAAUCAUCGAAUCUUUGAACGCCCAUUGCGCCCGCCAGUAUUCUGGCGGGCAUGCCUGUCUGAGCGUCAUUUCAACCCUCAUGCCCCUAGGGCGUGGUGUUGGGGAUCGGCCAAAGCCCGCGAGGGACGGCCGGCCCCUAAAUCUAGUGGCGGACCCGUCGUGGCCUCCUCUGCGAAGUAGUGAUAUUCCGCAUCGGAGAGCGACGAGCCCCUGCCGUUAAACCCCCAACUUUCCAAGGUUGACCUCAGAUCAGGUAGGAAUACCCGCUGAACUUAAGCAUAUCAAUAAGCGGAGGA